rnacentral:rRNA from 1 species
CGGGUGAGUAACGCGUGGGUAACCUGCCUCACACAGGGGGAUAGCAGUUGGAAACGGCUGAUAAUACCGCAUAAGCGCACAGUACCGCAUGGUACAGUGUGAAAAACUCCGGUGGUGUGAGAUGGACCCGCGUCUGAUUAGCUUGUUGGCAGGGUAACGGCCUACCAAGGCAACGAUCAGUAGCCGACCUGAGAGGGUGACCGGCCACAUUGGGACUGAGACACGGCCCAG